AGAUCAGGCUCACUUGUGUCUGUGAAGAGUGACUGGUCAAAGGAUUGGGACGUACCGAACUUCAGUGAGAAUAAAACAUCUAUCAAAAGUGUAAGAUCAGGCUCACAUGUGUCUGUGAAGAGUGACGAGUCAAAGGAUGAACCACCAAACUUCAGUGA